GUCCUCCGCCUCAGUACGUCCAUCUCUGUUGGAUCCGGGGCCUCGACUCUGUUCUGGUUCGACCGCUGGCUUGGGGACUCCCCCUUGGCUGUGCAUUUCCCAGACCUAUUUGCCAUUGCGGCUGACCCUCGGGUCUCUAUCGAGACGGCCCUUAUUGACUUGGGACGUCUUGCUUUCCAUCGUCCCUUCGGCUCUCUCGAGGUGGCUGCUUGGGACUCCCUCCUCCAAGACGUGGCCCUUAUGCCGAUGAACGUUGAGGAGGACCAGGAUGCCAUUUCCUGGCACAUGGAGCCGUAUGGCCGCUUCUCCACGAAGUCCUUGUAUGGGGCCAUUGCGCCCUGGACGGCCUCGGAACUGUUUAGCCUGAUAUGGGACAUCCGCCUCCCUCUGAAGAUCAGGAUCUUUCUGUGGCAAUGGAUCCGCGGACGCCUCCCCUCUGGGAUCGAAGUUCUCAAGCGUAACGGCCCGGGCGAUGGGAUUUGUCCCAUCCGUGGCACAAUCGAGGAUGCUAACCACAUCUUCUUCUCGUGCUCUACUGCCCAGUUCAUGUGGGCCUGCUUCUGCGAAACGGUCGGCAGCCAGUGGUGCAAUACCAAUUUCCCCGACUUACUUGCGGAACUGACCGCCUCCCCUCCUCGCUACCGCCAUAUUAUAUGGUUGUGCGUUGGGAUCCUCGCAUGGACGCUUUGGAACAUUCGCAACAAGCUUGUCAUUCAGAAGGUCCCUCUUCGACGUGCGAAUGAUGCUAUCUUCAAAAUGUGUGGCUACUUGCAGCUUUGUGUCACAUCCCUAGUCUGGUAUGACCUAGGCUAG
rnacentral:rRNA from 1 species